AUAACUAACAUGCAAGUUAUUAAGAUUUUAAAAAUCUAAAAGUGAAAUUAACAUGACAAAAUUAAUAUGGAAUUAGUUUUUAGUUCUAGCCUACUUAGACCAUUAAUUCAUGCGUUUUAUAUAGUUAUGUAGAAUAAUAUUUAUAUUAUUUAUACCUCUAACUAGAACGCGUACCUUGAGCACAUAUGCUGUAACUCGAAAGAUAGUGAACUAUACUUGGUCAGGUUGAAGUCAGGGGAAACCCUGAUUGAAGACGAAACAGUUCUGACGUGCAAAUCGAUUGUCAGAAUUGAGUAUAGGGGCGAAAGACCAAUCGAGCCACCUAGUAGUUGG
rnacentral:ncRNA from 1 species